rnacentral:rRNA from 1 species
ACUCCUACGGGAGGCAGCAAUAGAGAAUCUUCCGCACUGGGCGAAAGCCUGACGGAGCAACGCCGCGUGAGCGAUGAGGGUUAUCGGAUCGUGAAGCUCUGUUGUCAAGGAAUAACGUCUCUUAGCGUAACUGGUAUGAGAGGGCCGGUACUUGAGAGGAAAGCCCGGGCUACUUACGUGCCGGCGGCCGCGUUAAUACGUAGGGGGCAAGCUUUGUCCGGAAUUAUUGGGCGAAAAGCGCGCGCAGGCGGUUCUUAAAGUUUAGUGGAUAAACCCGGGGCUCACUUCAGGUCGCACUUGAAACUGGGGAACUCGAGUGCAGAAGAGGAGAGAGGAAUUCCAUCAGUAGCGGUGAAAUGCGUAGAUAUGUGGAGGAACACCAGUGGCGAAGGCGACUCUUUGGGCUGUAACUGACGGUGAGGCGUGAAAGCGUGGGGGGCAAACAAGAAUAGAUACCCUGGUAGUUCAACCCCUAAACGAAGAGUGAUUAGUGUUGGAGGGUUUCCGCCCUUCAGUGCCGCCGCUAACGCAUUAAGCACUCCGCCUGGGGAGUACGACCGCAAGAUUG